GCUGCACUCUGGCGGCGUGCCUAAUACAUGCAAGUCGAGCGAACAGAUGAGGAGCUUGCUCCUCUGACGUUAGCGGCGGACGGGUGAGUAACACGUGGAUAACCUACCUAUAAGACUGGGAUAACUUCGGGAAACCGGAGCUAAUACCGGAUAAUAUAUUGAACCGCAUGGUUCAAUAGUGAAAGACGGUUUUGCUGUCACUUAUAGAUGGAUCCGCGCCGCAUUAGCUAGUUGGUAAGGUAACGGCUUACCAAGGCAACGAUGCGUAGCCGACCUGAGAGGGUGAUCGGCCACACUGGAACUGAGACACGGUCCAGACUCCUACGGGAGGCAGCAGUAGGGAAUCUUCCGCAAUGGGCGAAAGCCUGACGGAGCAACGCCGCGUGAGUGAUGAAGGUCUUCGGAUCGUAAAACUCUGUUAUUAGGGAAGAAAAAAUGUGUAAGUAACUAUGCACGUCUUGACGGUACCUAAUCAGAAAGCCACGGCUAACUACGUG
rnacentral:rRNA from 1 species